CUGCCGUGAAUACGUUCCCGGGCCUUGUACACACCGCCCGUCACACCAUGAGAGUUGGGAAUACCCGAAGCCUGUGAGCUAACAUUUAUGAGGCAGCAGUCGAAGGUAGAAUCAAUGAUUGGGGUGAAGUCGUAACAAGGUACC
rnacentral:rRNA from 1 species